UCCCUCAUGUUCCAUACUCCAUCUGGUGCAAACUGACAACAGUGCGCAAACUCCCCUGUUGACACUCCAAAAAGAAAGAAGGUUAGCUCGCUCCUUUACGUCACGUGGUCUAGUUAUUAACUCCCCACGUCAAACUUUUCGAUUUGCUCCCUCCCUCUGAACUCUGAACUGAGAGCGGUGUGGAGAGCCGGCCCGGAGGUCGCGGGAACGUAAAGGCCGAGGCGACGGCCCUUGGUUCUGUGCGGCUGGCGGAGGUCGGUGGUAGCCGGCAGGGACUGGAGGUCGGCGACUUGCGGCAGGCCUGGAGGUAGUCGGCUCGUGGAAGGUGGUAGAGGACUGGAAGUCGGCGGCCUAAACUGGACUGGGAGUGGCGAAAGACGGUUCGUUUAACGGCCUGCUAAAUUACCGCCUAGGCCACAGGCGACGACGGCGACAUCCUACCCGGUACUUCCGGCGACCCACCCAGCGGAGCGGGUAGUAGAGGCUCGAAAUGUUCUUUCGGAGAAGGGAGGAGUUAAAACUACGUAGCGCCUUCGAGUUCCUUGACCUCGGUUUCUAAAACGACGACGUCGCGCACUACCUUUAUCAACUCCUCUCGGGAAUGUCCGGAGUAGAUCUCGUCGACAAGUUGCUAGAAUUCAGACGAAAGAUGGUUCGUCUCCUGUAGAACCUACUACAACUCAUAAUGGCAGAACUCUUUGUCUAUGUUCUACUGAUAGAGUCCAGUGUCCACGGGGCGGAGCUGCGUCGUUCUUAGUACACUUCUUCGAGAACUGCAGACGGUACUUUUUCACGUUGAAGGACUUUCUGGUCCUGAGAUCGUACAGUUUUUAGCUCAACUUCGUCUCGGAUCUUUUUUAUCUUUUCCAGUAUUUACUACGUACACCUAAAAAACUUGUCUACUUGAACGGUUUGUUUUCAUUACGAUUAAACUCGUUUGGACGGUCGAGUGCUCCACGCCAGUGAUGCCGCUCCGGAGGUGGAGACCAUUAGCCUUCUCUAUUUCUAACACUAUUGUAUCAACGUUACGAAGUACUAUUCCUUCUUCUACGAGUUGGUCUAUGGUUAUUCCGAGUUACGAUAAGGCAUUAGCCGUAAGUACCGUAGCCACCAAGACCUUUUAGUUGGGAAAGUGUUGAACAAACACGAGCACUCCUUUUCCUACCGGUAAAGUUGGAACAAUACACCCAAGUGCAAAGUGUCCUAAAAUCACACCUAUGGUAAAAGUCCGUCUACAGACUCCGGCGAUCGUCCUGGGGCACGGGAGUCAAGUUAUUAGAACUGUGGAAUGUCUGAUUAAACGUCUUCUUUGACGUACCUUUUGCCAAGGAGAACCAUGAUCUACUACAAACCAUGUUAUUAUCUCUACACUCCGUCAUACUCUUCGACGUUGUCUAUGAAAGUGGCGACUUGCGACCUCUCCGUCCUUCGUUCUAGGACCACUGAUCAGCUUGAUUUCUGCGUAACUAUCGAGACCCACGACGUCUCGUUUCUACAUAAGGGUACAGUGACGAUCUACUUCUACAGAAGGACUUUAACAAGUUCGUGAUACGUAAAGUGUUGCACACGCAACGACGACUACUGGCCUAUUCUGAGCUUCUGUAACGUUGAGUGUAACGUUUUUUCGACUUCCCUAGUGGAGACCGCCGGUUUGAACAACCUCCCGUCGAUGCAUACUCCGGUUUGUAGCUAAUGACCUCUUCAAGGGCUCUACCCUUGGUGAACCUACUGUGGUACCCUCGAGACACCACCUCGAUGGUUGUAGAACUACUUGUCCAGUCUGCUACGAAACGAAUGACGUCAUAAAAAGGAGCUUCUGCAGAGAACCUUGUUGUACUCAAUCAAUUCGAAACCCGACGUCUUCCCAAACGAUCUUCAUCGUUACUUCCCUUCCUAAACCUUCUACAAACGGUCCCUAUGAAACUACUUGACCACAGUCGGAGUAAAGACGUUGGACUUCAUUUCUUCAUGAGGUCAUUCUUCCUGUGAAUAUAUCAAGUACUAGACAACGAACUAAAUCGUCUAUCCCAACGACCUUCACUAACAAAGUCUUAUCUCUUAGUUACCUUUGUCUAUCCUCUACCGAAUUAUUACCUUCCUACACUUCUCCUUCAAGGGGGUCUGCAGGCGGUAGAAAAACAAGUCUGGAUACCAAGUCUUAACUAUUUACUCUUCUAUACGUUUAACCUGUUGGACGCGUGAGAGUAGUAACUACCGCAUCUACAGUCUUAUGUUCAACUCCUCUUUUGGCAGUUCUCAGACAAACACUCCGAUUUCUUCAACGCCCACGAAUAGUAUGGACAGAUAUUACUAGUUCCAUGUAAAAGUCAGGGUCUUAGAUAACCAGUCGAUUCCGUAGAUGCCAUAGAUGCCGUAGAAGGAAAACUCUGAUCUAAAAAGACCACAACUUUUAGACCACAAGUUGAGAGCACUACUGUACAAACCGGAGUAGUUGAACGCUGUAUACCGGCCUUACGGCAAAGACUUUUAUGGUUCUCAACCGUCCUACUGUAACGAAGCUUGCGACGUUUUUUAGUUUCACCCUUUCCUUGUUCCCACGCUCAACUUCGUUGAGCCGCCGGAGUUGGUCGAGGCACCGUUUGACUCAUAGCGCCCGGAGCUUUUGCAGCUCUGGGUCGUCCUUCGAGAACUUCGGUUCGACCCGCUGUUUCUUCCCGAGUGUUGUAACGUUGACAGCACCCCAGUACUAGUACUACACUCUCCUCUCAACUUCUUUGUCCUCCGAGUGUGUCUCCACGACCUCCCAGAGACGGGCGGGUUCGUAGAGCUUAGUGACUGGUAGAUGAGAAUGGUACCGAACUCUAUGGGUUCAACCUACUACCCACUCGUGCCGCCGCCGGGUUUCAUACACUUCCUUGAGUCGGAGAAGGUAACGUCGUGUCUCGAACCACCCAAGACCGGAGUGGAGGCAAGCAAGAUGUACAUGGCAACGUCGAGCAGGUGGUACGGCCUAGUGUACCUCGUGGACUGCAGCGAGUCCGCGGACCUGGAGCUGACCACGGGCUUGUAGGCCAGCGAAGGCUGCGACGGCGCCAGAGAACUGAUGAACUCAGAGUGGAAGACGGUACUCUACGACUACUCACGCACGUCUUCUCGACCUCUGGGGUUGACCCUUUUCAAAGUCGUGCAAGGAAUACAUACACAGUCGCUGAACCUCCUGCUGUAUCACCUCUGCUCUCGGGCACAUCUACCGCCGCCGAGAAGUAGUAGUAGUCGCGGGUUCUGAGGGAGCUCGCACCUUCGGCACACACUAGGAACUUGGACGGACGGUUAUUAUGUGAAUGACUCAAAAGUUUUAUUACAUGAAUGAUGAACCAGAUGACAUGCAUAGAACGACUCAAACGCUCAGUUGCACGUCGUUACAGGACAUUAUUACGACACUUUGGCACUUACUUGUGACUCGAACGGAACAAAGGGAACCGUACAUGAUACUUUUGCUCUCUACGAGUUGUAGGUGUAAAUAAACAAAGGCUAACCAAACGUCGGUUGACGAACAUGAUGAAGAUGAACGAAAGAACGGG
rnacentral:rRNA from 1 species